AUUGAACGCUGGCGGCAGGCCUAACACAUGCAAGUCGAGCGAGCGGCGGACGGGUGAGUAAUGUAUGGGGAACUGCCCGAUGGAGGGGGAUAACUACUGGAAACGGUAGCUAAUACCGCAUACUAUCAGAUGAGCCUCGCUGGGAGUAGCUAGUUGGUGGGGUAAAGGCCUACCAAGGCGACGAUCCGUAACUGGUCUGAGAGGAUGAUCAGUCACACUGGAACUGAGACACGGUCCAGACUCCUACGGGAGGCAGCAGUGGGGAAUAUUGGACAAUGGGCGCAAGCCUGAUGCAGCCAUGCCGCGUGUAUGAAGAAGGCCUUCGGGUUGUAAAGUACUUUCAGUGGGGAGGCGUUACCGACAGAAGAAGCACCGGCUAACUCCGUGCCAGCAGCCGCGGUAAUUC
rnacentral:rRNA from 1 species